GACGAACGCUGGCGGCGCGCUUAACACAUGCAAGUCGAACGGAAAGGCCUGCUUUCCCUUGUGGAUUGCGGGUACUCGCGUGGCGAACGGGUGAGUAACACGUGAGUGAUCUGCCCCCAACUUGGGUAUAAGCCUGGGAAACUGGGUCUAAUUCCCGAUAGGACUGCAGGGUGGUGCCUGUGGUGGAAAACGAUUUUCUAGUGGUUGGGGAUGAGCUCGCGGCCUAUCAGCUUGUUGGUGGGGUAAUGGCCUACCAAGGCGGCGACGGGUAGCCGGCCUGGGAGAGUGGACGGGCACAUUGGGACUGAGAUACGGCCCAGAAGCCUACGGGGGGCAGCAGUGGGGAAGAUGGCACAAUGGGCGGAAGCCUGAUGCAGCGACGCCGCGUGGGGGAUGACGGCCUUCGGGUUGUGAACUCCUUGCGACCGCGAGGAAGCCACCUGGUUGGAAGGGUGGUGACGGUAGUGGUAGAAGAAGCACCGGCUAACUACGUG
rnacentral:rRNA from 1 species